GGAAAGACAGUACUUCUAACUGGAAUACUGGAUAUAGGCUAUAACUUGAACUUUCACCGUAUAGCAAUACUCAAAGUAUACUCAAAAUACUCACAAGAAUACGCUCAAUAAUAUAGAGAGAGAAAACUUCAAUUUCUGGUGUGAUUUUCAAUUCUAGCCUAAACACCCUAUUUAUAGGAAAAUGCUUAGAACACCAAAGCAGAAAAUUUAUUAUAAUAUUAAUAUAUUUAAUAAUCUUUUACGCCCACUUUGACAACUGAUCUCAGAUCAUUAAACACAUGCUAGGGCUGCCCACUCAACAAAAAAAACAUUUUUAUUAAUAUAAAUAUUUAAAACUUCUAAAAAUCAAUUAUUUCGGAGCUUCGGAACUUCAAUAAUUCAUAAUAAAUAG
rnacentral:lncRNA from 1 species